AUACGAAGGGAGCUAGCGUUGUUCGGAAUUACUGGGCGUAAAGCGCAUGUAGGCGGACAUUUAAGUUCAGGGGUGAAAUCCCGGGGCUCAACCCUCGGAACUGCCUUUGAUACUGGGUGUCUAGAGUGUGGAAGAGGUAAGUGGAAUUCCGAGUGUAGAGGUGAAAUUCGUAGAUAUUCGGAGGAACACCAGUGGCGAAGGCGGCUUACUGGUCCAUUACUGACGCUGAGGUGCGAAAGCGUGGGGAGC
rnacentral:rRNA from 1 species